rnacentral:rRNA from 1 species
UCGGGAAUUUUGGGCAAUGGGCGAAAGCCUGACCCAGCAACGCCGCGUGAGGGAUGAAGUAUUUCGGUAUGUAAACCUCGAAAGAAUGGGAAGAAUAAAUGGCGGUACCAUUUAUAAGCUCCGGCUAACUACGUGCCAGCAGCCGCGGUAAUACGUAGGGAGCAAGCGUUGUUCGGAUUUACUGGGCGUAAAGGGCGCGUAGGCGGCGCGGUAAGUCACUUGUGAAAUCUCUGAGCUUAACUCAGAACGGCCAAGUGAUACUGCUGUGCUAGAGUGCGGAAGAGGCAACCGGAAUUCUUGGUGUAGCGGUGAAAUGCGUAGAUAUCAAGAGGAACACCUGAGGCGAAGGCGGGUUGCUGGGCCGACACUGACGCUGAUGCGCGAAAGCCAGGGGAGCAAACG